rnacentral:lncRNA from 1 species
ACAAUGGAAUAGGGAAGAAGAAGGUGGAUGUUUAGAUUUCAGGUUGGCGAAGAGAUGUCCCUUUUUAGUGAUUCACCCACAAACUUAAAAUGUAUAGUGAAUGAAUACAGCAACAGAGAAGAAACCAAGUGACCAGCCCCCAGACCAAUGAGAACAUCAAACAAGAUGAAUGAAAAUGGAGAGACAAAAGUUUUCAGCGGAUCCUUACUCGGACAUUCUCCAAAAUUCGUGGAAUUGAUUUCUCUCUCUCUCUCACCCUUGCUCAAUCCUGAUGCAGGUGAAGGUGACAUAGCU